rnacentral:rRNA from 1 species
GACGAACGCUGGCGGCGUGCUUAACACAUGCAAGUCGUGCGGUAAGGCCCUUUCGGGGGUACACGAGCGGCGAACGGGUGAGUAACACGUGAGCAACCUGCCCUUCACUUUGGGAUAACUGCCGGAAACGGUGGCUAAUACCGGAUAUGACUUCCUCACGCAUGUGGGGUGGUGGAAAGCCUUCGGGUGGUGGGGGAUGGGCUCGCGGUCUAUCAGCUUGUUGGUGGGGUGAUGGCCUACCAAGGCUUCGACGGGUAGCCGGCCUGAGAGGGUGACCGGCCACACUGGGACUGCGGCACGGCCCAGACUCCUACGUGAGGCAGCAGUGGGGAAUAUUGGACAAUGGGCGAAAGCCUGAUCCAGCAACGCCGCGUGAGGGAUGACGGCCUUCGGGUUGUAAACCUCUUUCGCCUGCGACGAAGCGAGAGUGACGGUAGCAGGUAAAGAAGCACCGGCCAACUACGUG